UACGUAGGGGGCAAGCGUUGUCCGGAAUGACUGGGCGUAAAGGGAGUGUAGGCGGCCUUGUAAGUUAGAUGUGAAAUCCUACGGCUUAACCGUAGAACUGCAUCUAAAACUGUGAGGCUGGAGUGCAGGAGAGGUGAGUGGAAUUCCUAGUGUAGCGGUGGAAUGCGUAGAUAUUAGGAGGAACACCAGAGGCGAAGGCGACUCACUGGACUGUAACUGACGCUGAGGCUCGAAAGCGUGGGGAGCAAACAGG
rnacentral:rRNA from 1 species